UGGCUGUGAGGAUAAUCCUUAAAGUGAAUGGCAGUGAUCAUUUAAUACGCUAUUCUGAGCCAACA